UACGAAGGGUGCAAGCGUUACUCGGAAUUACUGGGCGUAAAGCGUGCGUAGGCGGUUUGUUAAGUCUGAUGUGAAAGCCCUGGGCUCAACCUGGGAAUUGCAUUGGAUACUGGCAGGCUAGAGUGCGGUAGAGGAUGGCGGAAUUCCCGGUGUAGCAGUGAAAUGCGUAGAGAUCGGGAGGAACAUCUGUGGCGAAGGCGGCCAUCUGGACCAGCACUGACACUGAGGCACGAAAGCGUGGGGAGCAAACAGG
rnacentral:rRNA from 1 species